rnacentral:tRNA from 1 species
CGGGGCGUAGCGCAGCCUGGUAGCGCGCUUGGCUGGGGGUCAAGAGGUCGCUGGUUCGAUUCCAGUCGCUCCGA